rnacentral:tRNA from 1 species
AGCAGCGUGGCUCAGUGGAAAGAGCUUGGGCUUCGGAGUCAGAGGUCUUAAGUUUGACUCCUGGCUCUGCUA